rnacentral:rRNA from 1 species
CCAGACUCCUACGGGAGGCAGCAGUGGGGAAUAUUGCACAAUGGGGGAAACCCUGAUGCAGCGACGCCGCGUGAGUGAAGAAGUAUUUCGGUAUGUAAAGCUCUAUCAGCAGGGAAGAAAAUGACGGUACCUGACUAAGAAGCCCCGGCUAACUACGUGCCAGCAGCCGCGGUAAUACGUAGGGGGCAAGCGUUAUCCGGAUUUACUGGGUGUAAAGGGAGCGUAGACGGCAUGGCAAGUCAGAUGUGAAAGCCCGGGGCUCAACCCCGGGACUGCAUUUGAAACUGUCAGGCUGGAGUGCAGGAGAGGUAGGCGGAAUUCCUAGUGUAGCGGUGAAAUGCGUAGAUAUUAGGAGGAACACCAGUGGCGAAGGCGGCCUGCUGGACGACAACUGACGGUGAGGCGCGAAAGCGUGGGGAGCAAACAGGAUUAGAUACCCCGGUAUC